CGCGGCCUAUCAGCUUGUUGGUGAGGUAACGGCUCACCAAGGCAUUGACGGGUAGCUGGUCUGAGAGGAUGAUCAGCCACACUGGGACUGAGACACGGCCCAGACUCCUACGGGAGGCAGCAGUGGGGAAUAUUGCACAAUGGGCGAAAGCCUGAUGCAGCAACGCCGCGUGCGGGAAGAAGGCCCUAGGGUUGUAAACCGCUUUCAGCAGGGAAGAAAAUGACGGUACCUGCAGAAGAAGGUGCGGCCAACUACGUGCCAGCAGCCGCGGUGGCACGUAGGCACCAAGCGUUGUCCGGAUUUAUUGGGCGUAAAGAGCUCGUAGGCGGUUCAGUAAGUCGGGUGUGAAAACUCUGGGCUCAACCCAGAGACGCCACCCGAUACUGCUGUGACUCGAGUGCGGUAGGGGAGCGGGGAAUUCCUAGUGUAGCGGUGAAAUGCGCAGAUAUUAGGAGGAACACCAGUGGCGAAGGCGCCGCUCUGGGCCGUAACUGACGCUGAGGAGCGAAAGCGUGGGUAGCAAACAGGAUUAGAUACCCUGGUAGUCCACGCCGUAAACGUUGGGCACUAGGUGUGGGUCUCAACCAACGAGACCCGCGCCGUCGCUAACGCAUUAAGUGCCCCGCCUGGGGAGUACGG
rnacentral:rRNA from 1 species